ACAUUUUUUUCAACGUUCUUUUACUAUUUUCUUUUUUUUAAAUGCUAUGAAAUUGAAUGAAAUAACCAAAUUCAAUGAAAGUAGUGAACUGAUCAUUUAUAUUACUUGUGAAGAGGGUUGUACGGAACCAUCCACUUUAAUUUGUUUUUGUGUGAAAAU